rnacentral:rRNA from 1 species
GACGAACGCUGGCGGCGUGCCUAAUACAUGCAAGUCGAGCGGAGUUGAUUUGAAAGCUUGCUUUCAAAUCAACUUAGCGGCGGACGGGUGAGUAACACGUAGGCAACCUGCCCUUUAGUCUGGGAUAACUACCGGAAACGGUAGCUAAUACCGGAUAAUUCCUUCUGGCUCCUGCUAGAAGGAUGAAAGACGGAGCAAUCUGUCACUAAGGGAUGGGCCUGCGGCGCAUUAGCUAGUUGGUGAGGUAACGGCUCACCAAGGCGACGAUGCGUAGCCGACCUGAGAGGGUGAACGGCCACACUGGGACUGAGACACGGCCCAGACUCCUACGGGAGGCAGCAGUAGGGAAUCUUCCGCAAUGGGCGAAAGCCUGACGGAGCAACGCCGCGUGAGUGAUGAAGGUUUUCGGAUCGUAAAGCUCUGUUGCCAGGGAAGAACGUCCGGUAGAGUAACUGCUACCGGAGUGACGGUACCUGAGAAGAAAGCCCCGGCUAACUACGUGCCAGCCGCCGCGGUAAGAC